UUUCAUAGGCAUUAAAAGCACAGCCCAAAACCAAAGUCAAAGGAAGUGACAGUGUUGAAGUUGUGUCAGACACUUCACAGUCAUCAAAAGCUUCUGUAACAAAGCACAAAGGCCAAAAGGAAAAAACAGACACUGAGGCCACAACUCAUGCCUGUCAUGAUGACAUUGUACAGGCUUCAUGGAAUUCAAAGGACAGUGAAGUAGUAGUUGCAGUGGUGAAGUCACUUGGCACGGAUGCAAUAUAUACAUUGCACAUAUCAGAUUUCAAAAGCCUCAAACCACACAACUGGUUGAAUGGGGAGGUUAUUGAAUGCUACUUCCAAACACUGUUGAAUUCAAAAGACUGUGGAAGAAAAAUAUUUUUAUUCAACCACUACUAUUUGGGGAGAGGUCUGCAAUGUCAAAUUACAGUUACAAAAAGGUCAACUUUGAGAACUAUGAAGCCAUCAUUGGAUUCAUGCAAGUAAACAGUAACCACUGGAAAUUUCUGUAUCUCAAUAGGACAUUGCAGAAAGCCUUUGUGGUGGAUCCCCAAGGGAAUAAUGAAUAAAAAGAUUCCGAACUUGCUUUCAAAAGAUUCAGACAAUACUUCAAGAUGCGGCAGAUAGUUCAUAAUAAAACAGACUGGGUGGAUUUGAAAUGGACAACAGGUGUCUUGCCCCACAGCAUACAGAGAGAUGGUUACAGCUGUGGCAUAUAUGUCAUGCAGAUGGCUAAGGAGACAGUGGAGGCUUUUCAAUGACACCAUCUGAAAUCGUCAUACCUUCCAAUAAGCACCUCCUGUCAGAGCUGCGUAAGCAGAUGGCUGUAACAAUCCUAGAAUCAUCAGUAUUCAACCCCAAACAGCAUUGCUCCCUGUGUGGAAAAGAGUCUCCAGUUGGAAGCGUGGGUCUGAACAUAUGGAUUCAGUGCAGCAACUGUGAAAGAUGGUACCACUCUGUCUGUCUUGGAAUGACGAAAAAAGAGGUACACAAAUGGAAGACAAGAAAGUGGUUGUGUGUUUUCUGUAAGUAAAAAGUACUUUAUAAGUGUAGGUGUUAAAAUAUAUUGUUUAAUCUUGUUUAUUUUUUGUUGUUGUUGUUUUUUGUUUUGAUCAGUUCCUUAUAAAUGUUAAAAUCAGUAAAUUUUAAAAUCAGUAUAAAUUUUUGAUCAGUGUAUAAAUACCAGUUCAGUCAAAAGGGCUAUUGUACUGUUGGCUGUGGUUGUUUCAAUUUAGUCUACAGUAUCAACAGAAAAAUUCUGCAUUACAUACAUUUUGUAAUUGUCAGGAUGUUAAUAAGAUACAAUUUGUAAAUGCAACUACCUUGUGCAACAGUAAGGAUUAAAUGUGAGAUUGUGUAAAAU